AGCAUUUGGGGUCUGUCAAUAAGAUAGACUAGGCUUAGGUUUCUACAAGUGUAUGAAAAUAUCGGUCUUCCUUUUUCUCAGCAGGAACUCCUCUGUGAAGUCUUGGUUGGAGCCCUUCCACCUCCUGACCUGUCACAUCAGUAAAUCAACCUCCCCCAGGGCAAAGUGACUCCUGGUCAGCCAGUGGGAACUGUCUGGAGAAGAGGCAGCUGUAUAUGGAAAGCAGCCAGCACACAGCAGAUGACGGAGGUCUGCUGCAGCCCCAGUAAGGGGAUAUGGGUGAGACUCCAACAGAAUCUACAAUAUUAAUGGUGUCUACAAUUUGAUAUCUCAAUUUACAUGCUUCUCAGCACUUUUUAAGUCAUGAAUGAUAUGUUUGAGAGGUUAAAUUAAUCACUGCCUGUGUUCAUUUGUUCCUUAGUAUGGUGACAUUGCUGAGGUUUUCAUAGGUUAAUUCAAAAGUGGAUGAGAUUUUCUAAAAGAUUCCAGGACUCAGAGUUUUGAGUCCUAACCCUUAUUUUUUAAAGUCAGUGAAUUAUAAAAUAAUUAAUGAAAUUCUCCUCCCUAUAACAAUGACACAAGUUGCUGGUAGUAUUAUCACCAUAACAUGCUGUAGAAAGACC
rnacentral:lncRNA from 1 species